rnacentral:rRNA from 1 species
UAACAAGGAUUCCCCUAGUAACUGCGAGUGAAGCGGGAAAAGCUCAAAUUUAAAAUCUGGUGGUUUUGCCAUCCGAGUUGUAAUCUGGAGAAGCGUUUUCUGUGCUGGACCGUGUACAAGUCUCUUGGAACAGAGCGUCAUAGAGGGUGAGAAUCCCGUCCAUGACACGGACACCCGGUGCUAUGUGAUACGUUUUCAAAGAGUCGAGUUGUUUGGGAAUGCAGCUCAAAAUGGGUGGUAAGCUCCAUCUAAAGCUAAAUAUUGGCGAGAGACCGAUAGCGAACAAGUACCGUGAGGGAAAGAUGAAAAGCACUUUGGAAAGAGAGUUAAACAGUACGUGAAAUUGUUGAAAGGGAAACGCUUGAAGUUAGUCGCGUCUUACUUGACUCAGCCUUGCUUCGGCUUGGUGUAUUUCAUGUGAGACGGGUCAACAUCGAUUUUGACCGGCAGACAAGGGGAGUAAGAAUGUGGCACUCUUCGGAGUGUGUUAUAGCUUAUUCUCAUAUGUGUCGGUUGGGAUCGAGGACCGCAGCGCGCCCUUGUGGCCGGAGGUUCGCCUCACGUUACGCGCUUAGGAUGUUGGCAUAAUGGCUUUAAGCGACCCGUCUUGAAACACGGACCAAGGAGUCUAACAUGCUCGCGAGUGUUAGGGUGGAAAACCCUUGCGCAGAAUGAAAGUAAAAGUUGGGAACCUCCGCAAGGGGGCGCACCGACGCCCGGCCCAGAAGUUUACGGACGGUGCUGCGGUAGAGCGCGUAUGUUGGGACCCGAAAGAUGGUGAACUAUGCCUGAAUAGGGCGAAGCCAGGGGAAACCCUGUGUGGAGGCUCGUAGCGAUUCUGACGUGCAAAUCGAUCGUCAAAUUUGGG